AGAGCGAACGCUGGCGGCAUGCUUAACACAUGCAAGUCGCACGGUUUGGGGGCAACUCCAGGCAGUGGCGGACGGGUGAGUAACGCGUAGGCAUCUAUCCAAGGGUGGGGGACAACCACGGGAAACUGUGGCUAAUACCGCAUGACGACUUUGGCCGAGAGGUUGAGGUCCAAAGGCCGUGAGGUCGCCUAUGGAGGAGCCUGCGUCCGAUUAGCUUGUUGGUGGGUAAAGGCCUACCAAGGCGACGAUCGGUAGCUGGUCUGAGAGGAUGAUCAGCCACAUUGGGACUGAGACACGGCCCAAACUCCUACGGGAGGCAGCAGUGGGGAAUAUUGGACAAUGGGCGCAAGCCUGAUCCAGCAAUGCCGCGUGUGUGAAGAAGGUCUUCGGAUUGUAAAGCACUUUCGACGGGGACGAUGAUGACGGUACCGUAGAAGAGCCCGGCUAACUUCGUGCCAGCAGCCGC
rnacentral:rRNA from 1 species